rnacentral:lncRNA from 1 species
AAGAAGUGCAAAACUUGGAAUAUCUUCGGGGAGGCAAUCGAAAGCAACGGUGAUCGGACUUGGUAACUUGUAUGACUGCUGGAGGUAGUUGGAUGCAAGGAGAGUUUGAGGUUGCGGUUUGUGGAACCACCUAAAAUUCCAAGGUUGGUUUGGAGGCAAGCAAAUCUUCAAGAGUACGGAAGGCAUUCCGGGGAUUGAGAAGGUGUGGUGA